rnacentral:rRNA from 1 species
CAUGUCUUUUUGAUUAUAAUUUAAAGUCUGACCUGCCCUAUGAUUUAUUGAUUAAAUGGCUGCGGUAUUUUGACCGUACAAAGGUAGCAUAAUAAUUAGUUUUUUAAAUGAGAACUGGUAUGAAAGGUUGGACGAGAAAAAUACUGUCUCAAUUUAAUUUUAAUUAGAAAUUUAUUUUUAAGUUAAAAAGCUUAAAUGAAUUUAAAAGACGAGAAGACCCUAUAGAGUUUUAUAUAAUUAAUUUUAUUUGAAUUUUAAGAAUUAAAUAUUUAAUUAGGUUUAAUUAUAUUUGGUUGGGGUGAUUUAAAAAUUAAAAUAACUUUUUAAAAAUAAUAACAUUUAUUUAUGAUUAAGUGAUCCAUAUAUUAUGAUUAGUAGAUUAAAUUACCUUAGGGAUAACAGCGUAAUUUUUUUUGAGAGUUCUUAUCGAAAAAAAAGUUUGCGACC